rnacentral:rRNA from 1 species
AUUGAACGCUGGCGGCAUGCCUUACACAUGCAAGUCGAACGGCAGCACGGGUGCUUGCACCUGGUGGCGAGUGGCGAACGGGUGAGUAAUACAUCGGAACAUGUCCUGUAGUGGGGGAUAGCCCGGCGAAAGCCGGAUUAAUACCGCAUACGAUCUACGGAUGAAAGCGGGGGACCUUCGGGCCUCGCGCUAUAGGGUUGGCCGAUGGCUGAUUAGCUAGUUGGUGGGGUAAAGGCCUACCAAGGCGACGAUCAGUAGCUGGUCUGAGAGGACGACCAGCAACACGGGGACUGAGACACGGCCCAGACUCCUACGGGAGGCAGCAGUGGGGAAUUUUGGACAAUGGGCGAAAGCCUGACCCAGCAAUGCCGCGUGUGUGAAGAAGGCCUUCGGGUUGUAAAGCACGUUUGUCCGGAAAGAAAUCCUUGGCCCUAAUACGGUCGGGGGAUGACGGUACCGGAAGAAUAAGCACCGGCUAACUACGUG